rnacentral:lncRNA from 7 species
UGUGCCCAUUUCUUCAGCAGGGGGUUUGCAGACAGCUCAGCAGGAUGUCCUGGGACCAGUGCAGCCCAACUGGAAGUACCAGCGAGCUGAAAAACUCCCUUCAGAAGCACUCAGCCAUGGCCUACUGAGGAACUGCAAAGGUUGUCAGGAAGGCAUCGUUUAGUUUGAACUCCAUUCUCAGAUGAGCUGCGCUUUCUCCCCCUUUAAAACUCGAAAAUAGUGCAAAUUAAAAAUUUGCUACACUUGGGUUCAAUCUCAAACCUUUAGGCAAGCCCAUCCAUUUUGUUAAAUAUUUAGAUGAGAAAUUGUUGCUUUGUGUGUUUAUUUAUUUAUUUUUACAAUAUCCACUGUGCUGCUCAUUAUCUUAGGGGAGAUGGAGAAUAUUGCAAUGAUUAUUAGUAAGCUUGGUAAUGAGAUUACUGAACCAUUUGCAGUUGACUUUUUUGUGAGGCAUAAUUACAGGGGUUUAUUUACAGUGCCUUUAGAGGUUUUGUUGUUGUUUUUGCCUUUUAAUGAUUCACAUUUAUAUCCUUUGUUCUUCAUGUAAGGGAUAAGAUGCUAUCUCUGGAUGUUUUGCAUUUCCCCUCUCCAACCCUCUCAAUGAAAUGAAAGUGUGCUGUACUUCAGAUAGAAGUAAGAAGCUUUUAUUCAGUCCUGUGAUCCUCACCACACGAGCUCUUAUACCCUUGAGUAAUCUCACUGAUGUUAAUUGGGGAUACUCAGGUAAAUAGGUUUAUUUGUGCAAUUGUGCUAUAUGACUCUUCCAGUCUAUGCUCAAGCAGCAGUGAGAGUCUCAUUGACUCUUGUUGGCCUUGUCUGUCUCAUAAAUAUGAUGUAUUCAUACAAAUAUAGUAGAGAGGAAGAGCUGCGUUGCAGGUCUUAAAUAUCUCAUAACUGUUUGGAGGCUGUUACGGUUGAUUCCCAUAUUGUCACGUUUGUUGUUCACAUCCUUGACUGUUACCCACUUUUCCUCCAAAGCAGCUGUGAUUCCAGCAAUUUUGGAAGCUCCUGGUGGAGAAUUCCUGAUACAGAGAAAAAAAGCCUAAGAGAAGUGAAGUUAUUGGGGUCAGGUACAGGAAAGCUCUUAUGGAAGAGAAAAGCAUGGAAUAAAGUUCCCCUGGUUUUAAGU